CAGAGUUGAUCCUGGCUCGGGAUGAACGCUAGCGGCAGGCUUAACACAUGCAAGUCGAGGGGCAGCGGGGUGUAGCAAUACACUGCCGGCGACCGGCGCACGGGCGCGUAACGCGUAUGCAACCUACCCAUAACAGGGGCAUAACACUGAGAAAUUGGUACUAAUUCCCCAUAACAUUCGAAGAGGCAUCUCUUUGGGUUGAAAACUCCGGUGGUUAUGGAUGGGCAUGCGUUGUAUUAGCUAGUUGGUGGGGUAACGG
rnacentral:rRNA from 1 species